CGAUAGUGAAGCUGUGAACGGCUUUCGGACUCAGUUACUUGGUUGCAGUUGUGCGGUGGUUCACGCCUCGUGCUUUUUGAUGAAAGCAUUUUUUUCUUUUCGGACAUCAUGACGCACAUUUUAGUGAAAUGCUUUAACGACGAUAACUGGGACGUUUAUCCGUUGAAGUCGUUGGCUCACCCAGCUACUAGUCUUCGACUGAUGUGCGAGCCUGGUUGUUUUGAUGAGUUGCGCGGCAGAGGUCAUGAUGGCUGUUGGAGAGAAGGCACCCCGAAACAGUCGCAGCCGAACUUCUGCAGAUAGUUGGGCGCUCGCGCGCCCCGACGAGGGCCUACGUCAUCCUCGAAGUCGCCGUUACUCGCCGUUGCCGGCUCGCUGGGUCCCUGCCUUUCGAGCGCCUCGAAGACCUGCUGGACGGCCCAGAAAAGCGCGCGAUACUAACUCUCGCUGCCGCGGUCACUUCCUUUGAGACAAUGGUAGGCGAAGAGGCAGCGGCGCCCCACGUGCGUAAACUUGCAUUGCUUCAUUUGUUCCUGUCUAAUAACGUUUCUUCAAUUUGUAUGAGAGAACACAAUUGCAAAAUAAGGAUCGGCUUCUCUGCGCAGUGAUAAUUUUGUACAGUGGCCACGUCAUCUUUCAUAGGGGCUCACGUGGGUUGUCUAAGCGCUUGUUAUCGCGUUCCGAUACGUGAGAGGCGCGCUCUCUUUCAAGGUAUUUAGGUAGACACUACGAGCUUAGGAGAACCGCGACAAAUAAUUGUGCAGCAGGUGUGCAGCUGUGCUACGCUUGUACUACACUCGUACCGGAAGGCAGUGUUGCACUUCACGCUUACGCAUUUCGUAACUAUGGCGGCUGCCGUGGCAAUUUGGGGCUUGAGGUCAUGGAUACGAUCCCUGCAGCGGCCGCAUUCCAAAAAUGCAAAAACGCUCGUGCAUUGUACAUUGUAUGCACGUAAAAAUUUCCCGGAAGUCAAAAUUAAUACGGAGUCCCGAACUACGACCUGCCUCAUAAUCAGAUCGUUGGUUUGGCAGGUAGGACAUUGAAUUAUUUUUUUUAAUCCGUAGUGGCUCAUCGUAUACCGUACGGUUAACGUGAUCACCUUUUGUGCCGUAGCAGUUAAGCGCGCCUCGAUUUAGGUUGCGGCGCACCGCAAUAUAUGUUUCGCCUCUUUGGGAUUUGCGGAGAACGGCCAACCGAUUAGUCACAGCUUCCGUGUUGUGUGACUGUGCACGGAUACACGGCGCAAAUGAACAGAGGUGUGGUGACUACGUCGGCAAAGAACACAGCCGCCGACGGGCUCGCCUUAUCGCCUAUCACCGUCAAAACCAUACCGCAGUAAGCAUCUUUAUCUAGCGCGGCGGGUUGCCGUUGAAGGCGUACUGUACAAUAGGCGAUAACCGAAACAUGCAACCGUUCUCUGCUGCCUCUUUGAGUUGGUCCGAUCCGAAUGUGCGUUGCUUGCAGAAGCGAAAGGAGCGCCAAUCGCCGCGUUGUCGCCUCGAGCUAAGCGUCUCACUCGAGCACCGUUUGCGCGGCGAAUGACACAUGCAUGAAGCUAGCUCACUGCGCAAUCUCAUUUUCUGUCCGCAUUCCCUUCUCACAGGUUGCGCAUGCAGCAAAUUCCCAGGUGCUAAAGUGUUCUACGUCAAGAGCACCUUGGCGUCGUGCAAGAAACACCCGUUGAUAUGUGGCUGAUUCACUAGCAAGCUCGCAUCUCUGUCGCCUCUCUCCAUCAAGUGGGAUUUUCGACUAUUUUUGUGCUGCUCUGUGGUGUACUAGCAGCCGCAUGGACGCUGUGAAGGCUUACUUUUGAUUUGCUCUGGCGUUUAGUAGUAAAGGAUGGGCUACCUUUUGAGGGGAGGCAUUUACUUUUGUUUCUGAGAAUGUUUAUCAGCCUAACCAAGUGAUACGUGCGUACUGUAAACAGCAGAACGAUCGGAGGCGGACGACAGACGGCGAAAUAAGUAGGAGCACACACGAGCGCAAGCUCAACUAAAAGUUUACUUUUGAUGACAGAGCUAUUAGACACUGGUCAACAUGACAACUGUAAAAAGCCGUGCAUGCGAGGCAGAAACAGCCACGUGCGACCAGAAAAAAAUAUGAAACAGCCAUGUCAUGUAGAAUAAACGUGCGUGAAAAACGAGAACUAUCGGACAAAUCUUUCGAAAAAGCGAAAGAUUUGUCCGAUAAGUGAUACUACCCAACGAGAAAUACUCGUGAGAACUGCAACUUUUUCCCACUAAGGGCAACAGAUGACUUGGUUAUGCAUUUGUUUCGUUUGUGAUCAAUAAAUAUUGCUUCUGGAACUCCUCUGGUGUUGCGGUAUAGAGCAGAAAGAACGAUUGUUUCUUCACAAAGACCAGAACACAAGAGGACUUAUGGAAGCAUUAUUUAUUGAUCACGAAGAAAAAUUCAUAAGCAAGAUUUCUGUAACCCUUAGUGGGAAAGAGCUGCUGCAGUACUCGUUAAUAUCAUUUACAAAAGAAACCUUUCAGUUUUCAUGUUUGUGUUACUUUUUGACGCACAUGUUUAUUCUACAGGAUGUCUUUCGGUCCUUUUUUGUUGUGCCGGGCUGUUUCUGCUGCGCACCCAUGCCUUUUUGUUUGUGAAGUUGGCAAGUGUGUUUUAAAUCUUUGUCUUCACGAAUAAACUUCUAGUUGAGUCAGCGUUCAUGUGUGUUCCUACCUUAAUUCAUCCUUCUCGUCUCUGUUUGGGUGGUUGUCAAAUAUAAAUGUACACCAAAUUGGUGAAGUGUCCGUAAAAUUGAUACAUGAAGUUAUUUGUGCUGUUUAUUUAAGGAAGAACGCUAUAGGGUCUUCUCUUUGUUUUUAACACUGAUGAACAUUUUACUAGUUCAACUUCAAGGAGUCCCCUGAUGUAGCCGAUAAUAGUGAUGGUAACUUCCUUUGUGUGUAAGAUUUAUUAAUUUCAUCCAUUCAAGGCAUGACAUGUCACAUGCCUGUUUGUAGGUAUGCAAGCAUUCGUAGUUUUUAAACAUACUAAGCUAAACUUUUUGGUUCUCGUGGCGCUGCUUUGUACUGUGCUGCAUUCUCUAGGUGCAGGAACCUUUUUUAUGCGGUAAGUGCAUGUGUUCUUUUUGUAAAUAUUGGAGGAAAAAUUGUGGUGAGCUUAAAGAUGCAUGUAUAACACUUGUAAGAUUUUUUCAACGCGGGUGCUGCCUCUCCCUCCGUCUUUGUUACUGCUUUGUCCCAAUUUUUAUGCAACUUUUAUGUAUUUUAUGCAAUAAAAUUCUGGUAGCAUUUUAAUAAUAUUUUACCUGCGCAAUUGAGGUCAUUGGUGUUUCGUAUACGCAUUUAUUUGCGUUUUUCACUGUCUCACCCAUCUGGCUGUCCAGUCAUUGGAACCUUUUCUCAUCCUUUAUAACUAUUUCUGGGAUACUUGAUACUGCAAGUGCAGGUGACCAUUUAUUUGGCUGUUUGGCGUUGUGUUAGCCGUGUGUUACUACCAAUAAUUUUUAUCAGGUAUUAGCCUUGCCUAAUACCUAAUAUUACUAAAAGGUAUUAGCCUUGCCUUAUCUCUUUAUUGAAUGAGGUACCACUUAGUUGCUGGGUAUAGGGAUAAAGGCCCCAAAAAGUGCUCUAAUUAGCUUUGUGGAAGUCCAGCAAGAUUACCUGAAAAUGAGCUCGCUAAAUUGAGGAAAUGCCACCAACAAACUCGUCUGUACCCCAAAUUAACAUAAUCGAAUGGUGUACUGUUUGUUCUUGACUUGUGCCAGGGAGAUAAGCUGCAUUCAUUAUACAAAAGUUUUACAAGUUUGUUUCCGAAGAAAGCAAACCUGGCUCCUCAGAAACAUAUGAUUCAGGUGUUCACCAUGCCCGACAACUUUCUAAAUGAUGUCUCGUCGAUAGCUAAGUGGAGUGAUGUUAUUUUAUAAAAUAAUUGGGCAGCAUGAAAUUAUAUACAUCUCGAAGACAAAAAGCUCAGGCAAGUCUACUUUGGUACUUCAUUAAAUUUUAAUCGCGGUGAAAGACGUGUGCUAAAGCUUGUACAUAUUUCCGUGAAGUCAUUUGUUUCAAGUCUUAGUUUGCCUUCUCACAGUCAGCGGUACCUCUUCCUGUGAUGUGUUAGUGUGCGAAACAUUUUAAUGUAACAUAUUCAGAUGUAUUUUGUGUAUUCACACGCAAGCAGCUUCAAGUGUUCAUGUUUUCAAAGUUGGUUGUUACAAGUGUAUGCUUAAGUAGUGCCUUUUGAGUCGCUUUGCCUUCUAGUCAUAAACUUAAGUCGAAAGUGAAGACCACAAUAAUCGUUUUGAUUGAAUUCAUAUGUAUAGGUUUUUCACAUGUAUUUACACUGCUAGAGUGCUGUAGGUACUAGCCUAUGUCUCCAGGUUCGAUGUAGUGGUGCCUUGUGUACUGUAAUGUUUCAUGUGCAGACACCUUAAGUGUAAAUAAAGGUACUUCACAUUGA